UACGAAGGGGGCGAGCGUUGUUCGGAAUUACUGGGCGUAAAGGGCGCGCAGGCGGCCUUAGAAGUCAGAUGUGAAAGCCCCGGGCUCAACCUGGGAAUGGCAUUUGAUACUCUGAGGCUGGAGUACGGGAGAGGAGAGUGGAAUUCCCAGUGUAGAGGUGAAAUUCGUAGAUAUUGGGAAGAACACCGGUGGCGAAGGCGGGUCUCUGGGCAGUAACUGACGCUGAGGAGCGAAAGCGUGGGGAGCGAACAGG
rnacentral:rRNA from 1 species